rnacentral:rRNA from 1 species
GGCCCCAGGUCAGGCGUGAGUACCCGCUGAGUUUAAGCAUAUCACUAAGCGGAGGAAAAGAAACUUACCAGGAUUCCCCUAGUAACGGCGAGCGAACCGGAAGAGCCCAGCAGGAAAAUCGGCCAAUCUACCCGCCAAAUGGUAUUCGGAAAAAGCGUAA